GUCCACGCCUAACGAUGUCAACUGGUUGUUGGACGGCUUGCUGUUCAGUAACGAAGCUAACGCGUGAAGUUGACCGCCUGGGGAGUACGGCCGCAAGGUUGAAACUCAAAGGAAUUGACGGGACCCGCACAAGCGGUGGAUGAUGUGGUUUAAUUCGAUGCAACGCGAAACCUUACCUACCUUGACAUGUCUGGAAUCCUGAAGAGAUUUGGGGUGCUCGAAAGAGAGCCAGAACACAGGUGCUGCAUGGCCGUCGU
rnacentral:rRNA from 1 species